CCUACGGGAGGCAGCAGUGGGGAAUCUUCCGCAAUGGGCGAAAGCCUGACGGAGCAACGCCGCGUGAGUGAAGAAGGUCUUCGGAUCGUAAAGCUCUGUUGUCGGGGACGAACGCAGUUCGGGUAAACAAUCCGAGCUGGUGACGGUACCUGACGAGGAAGCCACGGCUAACUACGUGCCAGCAGCCGCGGUAAUACGUAGGUGGCGAGCGUUGUCCGGAAUCAUUGGGCGUAAAGGGAGCGCAGGCGGGAAGGCAAGCGUGUCUUAAAAGUGCGGGGCUCAACCCCGUGAGGGGACACGAACUGCCUUUCUUGAGUGCAGGAGAGGAAAGCGGAAUUCCUAGUGUAGCGGUGAAAUGCGUAGAUAUUAGGAGGAACACCAGUGGCGAAGGCGGCUUUCUGGACUGCAACUGACGCUGAGGCUCGAAAGCCAGGGGAGCGAACGGGAUUAGAUACCCUUGUAGUC
rnacentral:rRNA from 1 species